AGAGGGGAGCGAGCGUUGUUCGGAAUUACUGGGCGUAAAGGGCGCGUAGGGCGGCCUUGUAAGUCUCGUGUGAAAUCCCUCGGCUUAACUGAGGAACUGCACGGGAAACUGCUUGGCUUGAGUUCGGGAGAGGGAAGCGGAAUUCCGGGUGUAGCGGUGAAAUGCGCAGAUAUCCGGAGGAACACCAGUGGCGAAGGCGGCUUCCUGGACCGACACUGACGCUGAGGCGCGAAAGCUAGGGGAGCAAACGGGAUUAGAUACCCCGGUAGUCCUAGCUGUAAACGAUGAGUGCUGGGUGUAGGGGGUAUCAACCCCCCUGUGCCGAAGCUAACGCAUUAAGCACUCCGCCUGGGGAGUACGGUCGCAAAGGCUG
rnacentral:rRNA from 1 species